rnacentral:rRNA from 1 species
GAAUAUUGGACAAUGGGGGGAACCCUGAUCCAGCCAUGCCGCGUGUGUGAAGAAGGCCUUUUGGUUGUAAAGCACUUUAAGCGAGGAUGAGGCUACUUAGAUUAAUACGCUAGGAUAGUGGACGUUACCCGCAGAACAAUCAUCCGCUAACUCUGUCCCGGCAGCCGCGGUAACACAGAGGGUGCAAGCGUUAAUCGGAUUUCAUGGGCGUAAAGCGCGCGUAGGUGGCCAAUUAAGUCAAAUGUGAAAUCCCCGAGCUUAACUUGGGAAUUGCAUUCGAUACUGGUUGGCUAGAGUAUGGGAGAGGAUGGUAGAAUUCCAGGUGUAGCGGUGAAAUGCGUAGAGAUCUGGAGGAAUACCGAUGGCGAAGGCAGCCAUCUGGCCUAAUACUGACACUGAGGUGCGAAAGCAUGGGGAGCAAACA